rnacentral:rRNA from 1 species
CGGAGGAUCCAGGCGUUAUCCGGAAUCAUUGGGUUAAAGGGUCCGUAGGCGGUUUAAUAAGUCAGUGGUGAAAGCCCAUCGCUCAACGGUGGAACGGCCAUUGAUACUGUUAAACUUGAAUUAUUAGGGAAGUAACUAGAAUAUGUAGUGUAGCGGUGAAAUGCUUAGAGAUUACAUGGAAUACCAAUUGCGAAGGCAGGUUACUACUAAUGGAUUGACGCUGAUGGACGAAAGCGUGGUAGCGAACAGGAUU